GGCUAGUUAGUCUAGUAGUAUGAUUUCUGACUAUAAAUCAGAAGGUCACAGGUUUAAUUCCUGUAUUAGCCU
rfam:Mycosphaerella graminicola IPO323 chromosome 19, whole genome shotgun sequence.